rnacentral:rRNA from 1 species
AGAGUUUGAUCCUGGCUCAGAGCGAACGCUGGCGGCAGGCUUAACACAUGCAAGUCGAACGCCCCGCAAGGGGAGUGGCGGACGGGUGAGUAACGCGUAGGUAUCUAUCCAUGGGUGGGGGAUAACAGCGGGAAACUGCUGCUAAUACCGCAUGACACCUGAGGGUCAAAGGCGCAAGUCGCCUGUGGAGGAGCCUGCGUACGAUUAGCUAGUUGGUGGGGUAACUGCCUACCAAGGCGACGAUCGUUAGCUGGUCUGAGAGGAUGAUCAGCCACAUUGGGACUGAGACACGGCCCAAACUCCUACGGGAGGCAGCAGUGGGGAAUCUUGCGCAAUGGGCGAAAGCCUGACGCAGCCAUGCCGCGUGGAUGAUGAAGGUCUUAGGAUUGUAAAAUCCUUUCACCGGGGACGAUAAUGACGGUACCCGGAGAAGAAGCCCCGGCUAACUUCGUGCCAGCAGCCGCGGUAAUACGAAGGGGGCUAGCGUUGCUCGGAAUUACUGGGCGUAAAGGGCGCGUAGGCGGGUCGCUAAGUUGGGGGUGAAAGCCCGAGGCUCAACCUCGGAAAUGCCUUCAAUACUGGCGACCUUGAGUAUGGGAGAGGUGAGUGGAACUCCGAGUGUAGAGGUGAAAUUCGUAGAUAUUCGGAAGAACACCAGUGGCGAAGGCGACUCACUGGCCCAUUACUGACGCUGAGGCGCGAAAGCGUGGGGAGCAAACAGGAUUAGAUACCCUGGUAGUCCACGCUGUAAACGAUGAAUGCUAGAUGUUGGGGAUUAAAAUCUUCAGUGUCGUCGCUAACGCAAUAAGCAUUCCGCCUGGGGAGUACGGCCGCAAGGUUAAAACUCAAAUGAAUUGACGGGGGCCCGAAAAAAAAACAGAGAGCAAAUGAAACAAAAAAAAAGAAAAAGAAAGAUAGAAAAAAAAGGAUAAAAUAGGAGGAGAAAAGGAAGUAG